rnacentral:tRNA from 1 species
UGGGGCUGUAGCUCAGCAGGAUAGAGCGAUCGCCUCCUAAGCGAUAGGUCAUGGGUUCAAAUCCCAUCAGUCCCGU